rnacentral:rRNA from 1 species
GACAGAGGGGGCAAGCGUUGCUCGGAAUCACUGGGCGUAAAGGGCGCGUAGGCGGCGCGGGCAGUCAACGGUGAAAGCUUGGGGCUCAACCCCGAGUCGGCCGUCGAUACUCCCGGGCUGGAGCACUGUAGAGGCAGGUGGAAUUCCGGGUGUAGCGGUGGAAUGCGUAGAGAUCCGGAAGAACACCGGUGGCGAAGGCGGCCUGCUGGGCAGUAGCUGACGCUGAGGCGCGAAAGCCAGGGGAGCGAACGGG